rnacentral:rRNA from 1 species
GACGUAGGGCGCGAGCGUUGUCCGGAAUUAUUGGGCGUAAAGAGCUCGUAGGCGGCUUGGUGCGUCGGCUGUGAAAACCCAUGGCUUAACUAUGGGCUUGCAGCCGAUACGGGCAGGCUAGAGUUCGGUAGGGGAGACUGGAAUUCCUGGUGUAGCGGUGAAAUGCGCAGAUAUCAGGAGGAACACCGGUGGCGAAGGCGGGUCUCUGGGCCGAUACUGACGCUGAGAAGCGAAAGCAUGGGGAGCGAACAGG